CCUACGGGAGGCUGCAGUGAGGAAUAUUGGUCAAUGGACGAGAGUCUGAACCAGCCAAGUAGCGUGAAGGAUGACUGCCCUAUGGGUUGUAAACUUCUUUUAUAUGGGAAUAAAAUGUUCCACGUGUGGGAUUUUGUAUGUACCAUAUGAAUAAGGAUCGGCUAACUCCGUGCCAGCAGCCGCGGUAAUACGGAGGAUCCGAGCGUUAUCCGGAUUUAUUGGGUUUAAAGGGAGCGUAGGUGGAUUGUUAAGUCAGUUGUGAAAUUUUGCGGCUCAACCGUAAAAUUGCAGUUGAGACUGGCAGUCUUGAGUACAGUAGAGGUGGGCGGAAUUCGUGGUGUAGCGGUGAAAUGCUUAGAUAUCACGAAGAACUCCGAUUGCGAAGGCAGCUCACUGGACUGCAACUGACACUGAGGCUCGAAAGUGUGGGUAUCAAACAGGAUUAGAUACCCGAGUAGUC
rnacentral:rRNA from 1 species